AUCUUAAUGUUUGCAAAUAUUUACAAAUGGGUUGGUAGGGCUGUUUGUUUGUUGCUUUUUUAUUAUUUUUUGAGAAGCCAUUUUGUAAGGCAAUUUAGAGGAAUUAUAAGAUUGUGUUGGUGUGCGGAAUAGAAAAGAGUCAACAUUGUGCUGCUUUGCAGAUUAUGGCAAGUUGGAAAAGCAGUAAAUCAAGCUGUGUGCUGCUGAUCGUAAAGGAUCUGUUGAGAAGGAGCUAAGCACUUAUGCCUUAGGAAGUUGGUGGCCACCGCUGUCUAGGUCAGGCAUGCCUGGUGUGCACGGGAUCUUUGUUUACUUCUAGACCAUAUGAAGAAAUUGGAUCAGUGAUAAUCCUAUGAAAAUGUGAAUGAAAUUGCAAAUUCCAAUAAGGUAUUUUACCAAUCCUUUCCCUACAUCUCGGAGACAGAAUACUCUCUGUACAGUACUAAUGUCAUGUAUUGUUAGUCCCACUGAUUUAAUAUAAGUCCUCUGCACUAGUCUUCCACUAAUCUAUCUCAAGAUCAUGGGUUUCUACAAAUAAACCUGUUUGAGAGAGUGGUUGAUAUGUCUGCAGUCACUAGAUUGAAAGCUGAUAUUCUGUGGUUUCUAGUUCCCAAAUUCCCCUAGAAAAUAAAUCAGCUGAGUGUUCCAUACAGCUAACUGUCUUUGCUUUCAGUGUGAUAGCAGAGAGCCUCCAUGCGAAGCUGCUGGGAAAGACUGGCUGAGCCCGCUCAGCACCAGCAAAGUUGCUGCAGCACACGCAGUGCUGCCCCUUUACUGCAGGGUACUGGCUUUGUUGUGAUGAAUCACAAAUAUAAAUUACUGAAACCGGAGGGGUACAAUUAAUGCUAAUAUUUUGUUGUUGUUUUGUAAAGUAUAUAUUCACAAGACAGAUGUGGAAAUGCAUUCUGCAUUUGGUGGGUAAGCCAUGAAUUGAAUGGUAGUUAAGUAAUCAGCAAUCCUCUCCAUUGUUAAAAUCAAGCUGCUGGUUCCAAGGAGAAAAAGAAAUGUGUACCAUUAAAUCUUGUUUGCUGAAUGUGUAGAGCGUGAAUCACGGCCUGUUUAUCCAGCAUGUUACAGAGCUGUUUGCUGUGUCUGUAAAAGCCAAAAUGUUUAUUUUGUCUUUGCAUGGUUUAAAACUAAUUAAAACGGUGGUGGUGGUUUUCCCCCCUCCCCCCCUUUUUUUUUCUCUCUAUUCUUUCCAUGCUAAUAGAAGUGGUUCUAAGCAUCAUUUUUAGACUUUACCUUUCAAAGUAUUACUAACCUACCGUCAACACGACAGUAGCAUGGAUGAGAAGGUGGCAGCGACGCGGUCUGGAAACGCAAGUGGCCAGGUUUCCAGCCGACCAAGUCCAAAGGAUAAACAGGGCAAGGAAGAGGAGCGCUCCCCGCCAGCUGCAGGGCGAGGCCUCGCCUCCGGCGCUGAGGGGCGCGGGCGGCUCCCGCCGGGGCCUUGCAGAAGCCCCGCACCCGCCGCAGCACGGGGCCGGGGC